UACCGGCGGCUCGAGUGGUGGCCACUUUUAUUGGGCUUAAAGCGUUCGUAGCUGGGUUGUUAAGUCUCUUGGGAAAUCUGACGGCUUAACCGUCAGGCGUCUAAGAGAUACUGGCAAUCUUGGAACCGGGAGAGGUGAGGGGUACUUCGGGGGUAGGAGUGAAAUCCUGUAAUCCUCGAGGGACCACCUGUGGCGAAGGCGCCUCACCAGAACGGCUUCGACAGUGAGGGACGAAAGCUGGGGGAGCAAA
rnacentral:rRNA from 1 species